GUCUACGGCCAUACCACCCUGAAUGCGCCUUAUCUCAUCUGAUCUUGGAAGUUAAGCAGGGUCAGGCCUGGUUAGUACCUGGAUGGGAGAAUAUGAGAAUCUGAGAGACAUGUUCA
rnacentral:rRNA from 1 species